GGACUAUUGUAAACUGUGGUGUGAUCUACUUUAGCAUUUUGACAGUUUAAUCAGUUCAUAACUAAUUAUUUUUGUUACUUUGGACAGGGCGAGCAGGGCCUUGACGGGGAGAGCGGAUCAAAAGGACCAGAUGGACUAAAAGGUGAAAAUGGCCUUUCUGGAUCAGAGGGUGAAAAAGGAGAUCCAGGUGAAACUGGACUCAAAGGAAAAGAGGGAACCCCGGGGCCUCUGGGAUUGGUCGGUGUGAGGGGUCAGGAGGGGAAACCUGGCACAAUCGGAGAGAAAGGAAAACCAGGACUGAAGG
ensembl:lncRNA